AUUGAACGCUGGCGGCAGGCCUAACACAUGCAAGUCGAACGAGUGGCGGACGGGUGAGUAAUGUCUGGGAAACUGCCUGAUGGAGGGGGAUAACUACUGGAAACGGUAGCUAAUACCGCAUACCAUCGGAUGUGCCCAGAUGGGAUUAGCUAUUGGGGGGGGUAACGGCUCACCUAGACGACGAUCCCUAGCUGGUCUGAGAGGAUGACCAGCCAAACGGGACCUGAGACACGGCCCAGACUCCAACGGGAGGCAGCAGUGGGGAAGAUUGCACAAUGGGCGCAAGCCGGAUGCAGCAAUGCCGCGUGUAUGAAGAAGGCCUGCGGGUUGUAAAGUACUUUCAGCGGGGAGGCGUUACCCGCAGAAGAAGCACCGGCUAACUCCGUGCCAGCAGCCGCGGUAAUUC
rnacentral:rRNA from 1 species